ACCACACUCAAGAUGGCUGCCUGGCAUUCCUCUACGAAAUGGAUGUCUGCCUCACUCACUGUUACCAAGGCUUCAUUCCAGGCCUAAUAGGUCUUUAAAGGAUGGGAGAGUUUGAGAGAGGCCACACCCUUCCAUGUGAAAGCUGCAUCCAUGCUAUUACAACCAUUUCGUCAGAUGAGCUUGAGAAGUGUCCUCGGGUGCUCCCCCGCCAGUCCAGCAACAAAUGGCAUGCUGCCCAUCCCACAAUGUCGCUGGACUUCAGCAUUUCUACCCCAACUUUCUCACCUGAGGGGACUCAAGGCGGCUUACAAUAAUAGGCAAGAAUUCAAUUCCUUACACAAUACAUUAAAACAACAGUUCUUAUAAAAACAAUAACAUGACAUAAUAAAACACAUAAUACAAAAUUUAAAAACUGUUUACAUACAUAUAUUUUGAACCCCAGAGCAGAGUUUACAUCCAUUCAGAGGUACUACAAGGGUGGAAGUGGGAGAGAGAAGCUUUUGCUUAACCUCUGUACAUCCACAAUCAAGUCCUCCUGAUCUGAAAUUAGAGAGAAGACUGAGAUCACUGAGUUCUCUGAAUUCCCCAUCCCAUCUAUUCCCCAGUCCUCUUAUUUUAAAAAUAAUGAUUCUUGUGGUUAGUAAAAGCCAUUAUCAUUGAUCUAGCAAUGUAUUUUCAUGUACUUUCAAGUUAUUCCAACUUAUGGCAAAUCGGCCAUGGCAAGACUUUUUCAGAGCAGCUUUGCCAUUGCCUUCUUUUGAGACUGGGAGUGUGACUUGCCCAAGGUCACCCAGUUUAGGUCUGCAGUCCAAUAUCCUCUUUAGCUCAAUAGGACUUGCUCCAGAAUAAGAGCGUACAGAACCAAAGCUUUGAAGUACUACACCUUUAUUCAAUCCCAGGGUAAGAGGUUACUCCGAUUGAGGUCAAUAGAUUUUUCCCUUGGGUAAAAUAAUAAUAAUAAUAAUAAUAAUAAUAAUAAUAAUAAUAAUAAUACUUUAUUUAUACCCCGCCACCACCUCCCCAACGGGGACUCAGGGCGGCUUACAUGGGGCCAUGCCCAGAACAAUACAAUAUAACAGAAUACAAAAAGAACAACAAAUCAUAACACAUUGAACAAUACAAUAAAUGAUAAUAUACAUUACAACGCAAAAUCAGAAGAACAAUAAAAACAAGGGCGGGCCACAUGAACACUAAGUUAAAACGGGGUGAGAAAGAAAUAAGAAUAAAAACCACAAAGAACAGGGUCAUAAAAUAGUGGUGCAAUCUAGAGGAUAGAUAUUGGAGGGGAGCAACAGAGAAGAUGUAUGUAGUAAUUACUCUCCAAAAGCACAGUGGAAGAGCCAUGUUUUCAGGUCUUUCUUAAAGGCUACUAAUGUGGGGGCUUGCCUAAUCUCAACGGGCAGUGAGUUCCACAAUCGGGGGGCCACAGCAGAGAAGGCCCUCUCCCUUGUUCCCACAAGGCGUGUAAAAGAAGUGUAGGAUGUACGGGACCACAUACAAGAUAGGAUUGAAAUAUAAAAGGUUAAUUGUAUGUACACACUUCCCUAGGAAACAUGAACAUUUGUAAUUUUAUUCUAUAUUUGGUCUGUAUAUUAUAUUCAUUAUAAAUUAAUUGCUUUGUUUAAUAUUAUCCAUUAUAUGACUAUUUGGUAGAAUGGCACCACACCUCUCAGAUAAUUUGUUUCUACUGGCAAAUAUCCCUUAAAUUUGUGGUCACCCAAUGACACAUAAGGAGGAGGAGGAGAAAUGUAUUAUACCUCUCCAUGUGGUUCAAGGUGCAAUACAACAUGUGAGUCUGGAUUCAAAAAGUCAGUUUCCUUUCAUGUUGUAAAUGUUUGCUCAGGGCACUUCCACACAUAACAAAAUUUACCUCUUUCCCCUCCCCUCCACCUGUCAUUUCAUUUUCUCAUGCCUGAAAAACUAUAGGGAGAGGCUGUGCUGUCAGAAGGCCUCUCCAGUAAAUUUGAGGACCCAAAUGGGGGGCUGGAGGGGAGUGGGUGGGUGUCAUCCCACUCCUUUGGGCUUUUCAACAGCCAACCAAGUGAGAUGGCUGUAGAGAGUGACCCUCUGGACAGCAGAAGCAGUCCUGAGAGUCAAUUUCCACAGGCCCAGCACUUCAUUAGACCUGGAUUCUUUAUAAAUAUCUGGAUCUAAUGAGGUGUUUAAUUAAUGUGGAGUAAACCAGGGAAAGUUUACUCUGCAUUAAUUUGGUUUUCCCAGAGAUGUCGUUUGGACAUCGGUAAACUUGAGAGCAGUCCUACAUAUUGGGUCUGAAUGGGCUCUUGGUUACAAGUAAAGAACAAAUAAUCAACAUGAAGUAGCUUUGAAUUCAUUUCCUUCCCUUGUUUUGAUUCUGUAUAACCUUUUCAACUAUAUUUUAAGAGGCUUCUUGUUACAAGCAGAAAAACGGGGCCCUUUCACACUACACAAUUAUAGCACCUUGAUAUCAUUUUAAUCAUCAUGGUUCAAUUAUAUGGAAAUUCGGGACUUGUAGUUUAGGGAGAGGCAUUUAGAAUUGUCAGCUCCAGAAUUCCACAGAAUGCAGCCAUAGCAAUGAAAGUGGAAUCAUAGUGCUGUUAUUGCAUAGUGUGAAGGAUUGGAUUUGGCAUACUUUGAAUGGUGACCAUACUUGGAAAGUGAACUUGGUAUUGUGUGUUUCAAGUAGGACAUGUUGUAGAAGGAUAAUUUCAACAUAGAGGUGGUUUCCAUUUGCAGCACACUGACUUUAAAAAGAGAAAGUAUAACAGGUCAGUCCUAGUGUUAUGCUUUUUAGAGAAAGAAACUGGCAAAAUUACCUCUAGAUAUUCCUUGUCUAAGAAAACUUUAUGGAACUCAUGGGGUUGUUAUCAGUCAACAGCUAGCUUAAAGGCCCAUGCACACAAAGUAUGUUUUAUCAUACUAACACCAACAAAACAUUGGCCUAAAUUCAAUUAAUUCUAGAAAGGAGUUUUACAUAAGUUUUGACUUACCAAGUACCAUUCAUUUAGUGGAUCCACUCUAGUUGUGAGUAAGAUUUUGAUUUAGUCUCUGGUUCCUAUUAACAUGACUUUAAAUAACAAUACACAUAUUGUUAUAUUGUUGUCAAGAGGUUUGAUCCUGGAUAAAAAAGAAUAUGUAAAAUAACAUUGGUGGUUACACUUGAAACUAGUGGUUAAUGAAAGCUUCAUUAAUGUUGAUUAAUGUAGUGCUCUUUCAUAAUUGAGAAAAUAUUUUAAGUAGCAAACAAAAUUAUUGGUCUUCGGUCUUUUUGAACUAAGGUAGAGCAAGCUUCAAGAUGAUUGAAAGGGAAGUUUUAAACAUGGUAGUUAUUUUUGUUGCCUGACAAGAAACACAAAAAGAAAUGAACAGCUACAAUAAAGAUGUAGUCACAGUGUGAUUUUUCAUGUUCAGUUGCUAAAAUGCAGCAGAAUAUCGAUUUCCAAUUAUCGUGGCUGCUAAACUCCAAAGUUCAGCAUGAGAACCACCUAUGAUAUUGAUUCAAUUCAAUAAAUUGCCUGUUUUA